rnacentral:rRNA from 1 species
GAUGAACGCUAGCGACAGGCCUAACACAUGCAAGUCGAGGGGCAGCACAUGAGUAGCAAUACGAUGGUGGCGACCGGCGCACGGGUGAGUAACACGUAUGCAACCUACCUGUAAGAGGGGAAUAACCCGGAGAAAUUCGGACUAACACCGCAUAAUACCUCGAAGCUGCAUGGCUUUGAGGUUAAAUAUUUAUAGCUUACAGAUGGGCAUGCGUAACAUUAGAUAGUUGGUGAGGUAACGGCUCACCAAGUCAACGAUGUUUAGGGGUUCUGAGAGGAAGGUCCCCCACACUGGUACUGAGACACGGACCAGACUCCUACGGGAGGCAGCAGUGAGGAAUAUUGGUCAAUGGGCGAGAGCCUGAACCAGCCAAGUCGCGUGAAGGAAGAAGGUUCUAUGGAUUGUAAACUUCUUUUGUAAGGGAAUAAAAAGAGUUACGUGUAACUUAUUGUAUGUACUUUACGAAUAAGGAUCGGCUAACUCCGUGCCAGCAGCCGCGGUAAAA